UGCUCCGCCUCACCCCCGAAGCCCACACAGCACCCGUGGCUUUCAGGGACCAGAUCACAGAGAAAUCAUGGGACACGGCCACCCCCGGAAUGACAUUAAUGCUCAAAGGGAGUCUCAUCAAAGUGCUCCGCAUCUGUGUGAAAGACAAUUGCAACAUCUUGGUGCAGGAGUUCAUGGACUUGACUGAGGCCACUGCACAGAUUGAGAAAACCACAAUGAACAUCUGUCUCCAGAGAUGCGCCAGGCAAUGACUUUUCUGAUGUUGGCAUCAUCAUCGAAGGUAUAGUAGUUCUUCAAGAUCUGGAUAACGUGACCUUUGCAGUAGCCAUGCUGUUUGGACCUUUUUUUUUAU